rnacentral:rRNA from 1 species
GUGUCAGCAGCCGCGGUAAGACGAACCGAGCGAACGUUGUUCGGAAUCACUGGGCUUAAAGGGCGCGUAGGCGGGCAUCAUAGUCUGUGGUGAAAUCCGGCAGCUUAACUGUCGAAUUGCCAUGGAUACUGGGUGUCUCGAGGGAGGCAGGGGUGCGCGGAACUAAUGGUGGAGCGGUGAAAUGCGUUGAUAUCAUUAGGAACUCCGGUGGCGAAGGCGGCGCACUGGUCCUUUUCUGACGCUGAGGCGCGAAAGCCAGGGGAGCAAACGGGAUUAGAAACCCCCGUAGUCC